AAAAAAUUUCAGAAAGAGUUGUUUUAUUAUCGACAUAUCCAAAUAACGAUUUCGUUAUAUCACCUGAUGUAUAAUUAGGCAUAUAUUUAAGUGACCAAAAGGAAUGGGUUUAGUCAGGUUCAAUUUAAAUUAUUCUUUGAUUUGGGUUCAACUCAUAUAAUUGUCAUUUGCACAACUGAUUUAUUUGACUUUAUUGGUCAUAAAUAUAUUAAAAAAUCGGUAUCGUCCCUCCAAUUCGUAUGAAGAUUAUGAAUUAGGCGUUUUGUCGUAUUGCCAAGAUUCCCAAGAAAAUCUUGAAGAUUCCCAAAAAUGUAUAACUAUUAAUCUACAAGGUCCAGUUUUGGAUAACACAAAUAGUCCGGUUUUGGAUAACACAAAUAUUAUGAACCAAGAGGUCUUGGAGGAAAUAGAUGCCCAUAACAAAAAUACCAUUAGUCCAACUAUUAUUCAAAACAAUUCUAACAAUCAAAUGGUUCAAUAUAAUUUGAUUAAAUCAAAAUACAACAAAAAUAUUAUCUAUUCUAACAAAUAUUUAAUUCAAUUUAUACAUCAUC